rnacentral:tRNA from 1 species
GGCAUGAGAGCUCAAUGGUUAGAGCAUGCAUCAUGAACGGCAUAGCUCUGGGUUCAAUUCCUAGUCAAGCCA